CUACGGGAUGCUGCAGUGGGGAAUAUUGCGCAAUGGGCGAAAGCCUGACGCAGCAAUGCCGCGUGAGUGAAGAAGGCCUUCGGGUCGUAAAGCUCUUUAUCCUGGGGAAGAUGAUGACGGUACCCAAGGAAGAAGCACCGGCUAACUACGUGCCAGCAGGCCGCGGUAAUACGUAGGGUGCAAGCGUUGUUCGGAAUCACUGGGCGUAAAGGGCGUGUAGGCGGAAAGGUCAGCUAGAGGUGAAAGCCCGGGGCUCAACCCCGGAGGGUCUUUUAGAGCUGCCUUUCUUGAGAAGGUCAGAGGUUAGCGGAGUUCCUGGUGUAGCGGUGAAAUGCGUAGAUAUCAGGAGGAACACCGGUGGCGAAAGCGGCUAACUGGGGCCAUUCUGACGCUGAGGCGCGAAAGCGUGGGGAGCAAACAGGAUUAGAUACCCGAGUAGUC
rnacentral:rRNA from 1 species